ACGGUCCUAAGGUAGCGAAAUUCCUUGUCGGGUAAGUUCCGACCUGCACGAAUGGCAUAAUGAUGGCCAGGCUGUCUCCACCCGAGACUCAGUGAAAUUGAAAUCGCCGUGAAGAUGCGGUGUACCCGCGGCUAGACGGAAAGACCCCGUGAACCUUUACUAUAGCUUGACACUGAACAUUGAAUUUUGAUGUGUAGGAUAGGUGGGAGACUUAGAAGUAGUCACGCCAGUGAUUAUGGAGUCGUCCUUGAAAUACCACCCUUUAACGUUUGAUGUUCUAACGAAGAUUACGAAACGUGGUCUCGGACAGUGUCUGGUGGGUAGUUUGACUGGGGCGGUCUCCUCCCAAAGAGUAACGGAGGAGCACGAAGGUUUGCUAAUGACGGUCGGACAUCGUCAGGUUAGUGCAAUGGUAUAAGCAAGCUUAACUGCGAGACAGACAAGUCGAGCAGGUACGAAAGUAGGUCAUAGUGAUCCGGUGGUUCUGCAUGGAAGGGCCAUCGCUCAACGGAUAAAAGGUACUCCGGGGAUAACAGGCUGAUACCGCCCAAGAGUUCAUAUCGACGGCGGUGUUUGGCACCUCGAUGUCGGCUCAUCACAUCCUGGGGCUGAAGUAGGUCCCAAGGGUAUGGCUGUUCGCCAUUUAAAGUGGUACGCGAGCUGGGUUUAGAACGUCGUGAGACAGUUCGGUCCCUAUCUGCCGUGGGCGUUGGAGAAUUGAUUGGGGCUGCUCCUAGUACGAGAGGACCGGAGUGGACGCACCACUGGUGUUCCGGUUGUGUCGCCAGACGCAUUGCCGGGUAGCUAAGUGCGGAAGAGAUAAGUGCUGAAAGCAUCUAAGCACGAAACUUGCCAAGAGAUGAGUUCUCCCAGAUUUAAAAUCUGUAAGGGUUGUUUAAGACUAAGACGUAGAUAGGUCUGGUGUGUAAGCGGUGCGAGCCGUUGAGCUAACAGAUACUAAUUGCCCGAGAGGCUUAACUAU
rnacentral:rRNA from 1 species